rnacentral:rRNA from 1 species
GACGAGUCGAGUAGUUUGGGAAUGCUGCUCAAAAUGGGAGGUAUAUCUCUUCUAAAGCUAAAUACUGGCCAGAGACCGAUAGCGCACAAGUAGAGUGAUCGAAAGAUGAAAAGCACUUUGAAAAGAGGGUUAAAUAGUACGUGAAAUUGUUGAAAGGGAAGCGCUUGUGACCAGACUUGUGCCCGGCUGAUCAUCCAGUGUUCUCACUGGUGCACUCUGCCGGGCUCAGGCCAGCGUCGGUUCUCGCAGGGGGACAAAAGCUUCGGGAACGUAGCUCCUCCGGGAGUGUUAUAGCCCGUUGCUCAAUACC